CCUACGGGAGGCAGCAGUGAGGAAUAUUGGUCAAUGGCCGAGAGGCUGAACCAGCCAAGUCGCGUGAGGGAAGAAUGUCCUAUGGAUUGUAAACCUCUUUUGUCAGGGAGCAAAGUCACCCACGUGUGGGUGUUGGAGAGUACCUGAAGAAAAAGCAUCGGCUAACUCCGUGCCAGCAGCCGCGGUAAUACGGAGGAUGCGGGCGUUAUCCGGGUUUAAUGGGGUUAAAGGGUGGGGAGGGGGGGUUAUAAGUCAGCCGUUAAAGUCUGGGACUUAACUGCAUCCAUGCAGUUGAGACGGGUGAUCUUGAGUGGGGGAGAGGUAGGCGGAAGGCGUGGUGUAGCGGUGAAAUGCAUAGAUAUCACGCAGAACUCCGAUUGCGAAGGCAGCAUACCGGAGCCCGACUGACGCUGAAGCACGAAAGCGUGGGUAUCGAACAGGAUUAGAUACCCUAGUAGUC
rnacentral:rRNA from 1 species